UGGUAUUCCAGGUGCAAGGACUUCCUCUUUUCAUGGUACGGUGCACCUAGACGGCGUGAAUUGCUUCAAGUUGGAGAUGCUCCUUCUCCUGCUCCAGCUCCAGCUACUUCCCCUUCUGAAACUCCCAAUUCUCCGCCACCUGCCCCUCCUCCUUCGAAGCCAUUUUUUCCUGUCGACUACAACAAUUCAAGCAAAAGUUCUGCUCCUAGCGAUCAGUCUUUUAUUAGUCAAAACUCUACUUCGGAUGGUCAAUCAAAUAAGAAAAGCAACACAAAAACAAUUUUGGUUGCAGUUCUUGUGACUGCUUCAGUCACAUUUAUUGUUGUUGCACUCUUUUUUAUAUGCUAUUGCAAGGUUUGUGGGGUUGGAUACAGAAAGGGAAAGAAUGACGAGCGGCCUCUUCUUAGCCUAAGCAUAAGUGACCAUUCUGCUGGUAUGUCUCCAUUCCUUGUUUCUCUUGUAUAUAUAUUGAUUGAUCUUGGUUUUUGGUAUACUGAUGUUUCUGAGACAUCGACUUCUAUCUUUCAGCUUCAAUACACGGUAAUGCCGGCAAUUAUUCAGUCAGUGAUGAUUCCAAUGGUAAAAUGGGUAAAAAUUUCUACAUGGAGCAGAACGCUCUUAAUGGUUCUAAAAGUGAGAUCCCUUUGGGAACUGUUACUGGCAUUGCUGUGGCUACAGUAGGGAAUUCUACGCAGAUACCACCUGGAAAGAUGGCAAUGCAUGGACAACCUCCUCUUAAGCCUCCGCCUGGUAGGUUGAAUCCUUUUGAAGAUCCUGCUAGUCCAAUCCCUCCUCCACUAGCCGGGGAUUCUGCACAGAUACCGCCUGGAAGGAUGGGAAUGCAUGGACAGCCUUCACUUAGGCCUCCCCCUGGCAGGGUGAAUCCUUUUGAAGAUCCUGUUAGUCCAAGCCCUCCCCCAAUACCUCCUGCCAAGACAGCCAAUCUCGCCGCUCCAGCCCCACCUCCACCACCACCGAAGCCUUCAGCUGGCGGUCCACGUCCCCCUGCACCAGGGCCUCCUCCACCACCACCCAUACCAAUUCGCGCAAAGGCUGGUCCUCGUCCGCCACCACCUCCUGCCCCC
rnacentral:lncRNA from 1 species